CGCACCGCACACCUACGGAACUCGCUCACUCGGCCGGCGUUCAUCAGCGACUCCUCCAAGAACAUCACAGAGAGAGACGCGCGCGGCCCCCACCCACCCUGUAGGCUUUCUUCUUUUCCUGUUCGGAUCGGCCAAUCGCCGCUAAAGUGCCAUCGGGUGUGAAGCUAGGAACGUCGCCGCCGCCGAUGAGAUGGUGGCGCUGCCGGCGUUUAAGUUCGUCUUCCUGGCCAUCCGCCAGGUGACGCGCCCUGUCGCGAAGCAGAUCGUCUCACGUGCGAACACGAAGCGCGCCCUGACGUAUUGUGUGUGCAUUGGGCUGGGCCGCGUCUCGCUCGGCCUCUCCGGCGUCAUCGCAGAGUGGACACGGGCUGAGGAACAGAAGCAACGGGAGGCGAAGCUCAAGGCGGCACAGGCUGCGGGUGCGACUGCAGCAAAGAACGCGGCGCAGGUGGCCAUGGAUGUGGUGGGCAAGGCAUCGACAGCAGCAAGCAGCAGCGAGACACCCAACACGGCGGGAUCGAGUAGCGGCACCAACACAGCAGCGAGCUCCGCGGCGAAGGCGCAGGCGGGCAAAGCCGUAGAGUCAAGCAUAGCCACAACGGCGAAGUCCGCUGCUACGCCGGCAACCGUCACACCUCGGUCGCGAUCGCUUCUGCAGAGCGUCGUCUACGGUCCGCAGCCGAAGGGUGGGGCGGUGGACACAUACGACAGCACCGUCUUUCUCGAUCUCUCGCGCACCGUCGGCGAGGUAGCCCGUGUCUUUAUCCGCUACCCGUCUCGCAGUGCUUGGGAUGUGUUCCGCCAAACGUUUCUCGCUCCUUUCCCGGAGGAUCGACUCGUUGCAGCGGGCGCUGACCUUCUCAUCGAGCUGGUGGCCUACACAGUGCUGUGCACAUUGCUCGUGGUGGAGCUUUACCAGCAGUCCCGCACAUCGGCAGCGAAAGAGGCCCACUUGCAGGCCCGCCUGGAGGCAAUCGAAUCCAAGGUGAACGAGCUGGUGGAGUGCAGCAACAGGGCAGCCUCCUCGCCGCCGGUGCAGGAGUUGCCUCCAGUGCGGGAACUGCGCGUGACAGGGCGGCUCAGUGCCCUCUGGGGUGCCGUCACAGGCGGCGUCGGCUUUGUUGGUGAUUCCGUGAGCAGACACACCGAAGGCCGCAAAAAGAGCAGUGCCAGUAGCAGCGGCGGCAGCCUCGCAGCCGAAGAGCUUGAGCGACUGGCGCAGAGCGGCAAGGUUGUCGUCCCACAGCGCAAGAACGGCUUCAACGUGGCGUAUGCCCCACCGCGGGACCCCGCGGUGAAGGUGAGCAAGCACGAUGAGACAAUUUUCCUGCAAGAGGAGCUGGAUCAGCUCAUGGGCAAUGUCGUGCGGAUGGAGAAGCGGGCAUAGAAUGAGCGGGCCGCUCGGUGGAGAGGGUCAGCGCAUCGCUUGCUCAUCGCGUAAGAGGAGGGGGAUGCAGCGGAAAGGGGGAGGGGGGGCACACUGCCUGGAUGCAACGCACCCCAGCGGCCACACGAAGGGGAGAAAGGCAGUGCCCUUCCUUACUCUUGACCGAUGGCUACGCUUAUCGCGCUGUGUGGCAAUGGCGGUGUCGCCGCCACUCCUCCCCUACGUUGCCUUAUCCGUCGAGCGUCUUCCUCACGCGUGGGUGUGCGGCUCUUCUCAGGGAGUACCUUUGCGUUAUGCCGAUAUGUGCAGGCGCGUGUGCGGAGGGCGGCGUCGGUGUGCCCUCCGAUGACAACGUUGUUGUCCGACAGGAGGCGAGAAAUGAGGACGUGUAACAUCCUCGUGUGCGUCUUUUCGCAUCCGAUGGCCUCAACUGCUCCCCACCCUCCCGCCCGCUCCCCCUUAUCUCUGUCUCUUUCCUUCCUGUGUUUGGCUCGUGCUGUGUAUGCCAG
rnacentral:misc_RNA from 1 species